GGGGGGUCUGAGGCCGCCGCCAAUGCCCACUGGAUGCCUCCAACUUGAAGACUUUGUGGAUUUGAAAGCAAACAAACACCAAAAAAAACACUUUGAGAGGGUCCGCCUCCAAAGGCGCACGGGGAGAAAGCGAGCGGAAAGAGGGAGCCUGCCUCCUUGGGGCGUCCGGCCACCGCUGGCACAGCGGAUCCUUGUCGUGGGGAGGAGAGCCCCGCGCGCCCCGGCUCCAGCCACACAAAGUAAGCCUCCCACCGAGGCGCGUCUCCAGGCAUCGUGCGCGCCCACCAGGCAGGCUUUUCACUCUGCCAGCUAUCGCAGUCUUGAGGCCAGCAGAGGGUGUGGACCUUGGGCAGUUGUAAACAAGAGGACUUCUGGGACCCUUCUUAGGGACGAAAGGGAUGCUGGGGCUGCUGCAGCCAUUUUGGCACCUUGAGAUCCUUGGAUCACGCAGGCAGGCCUGGGAGCCACCGCGGCCAGGGUGAGUCCUCAAAAAUCAUUGUCAGAUUUACAAGAUGAAUGGAAGCGGGUGGAGCGCUCAGCUGUGCCUUCCGAACACACCUGGCUCCUUCCCAGAAGUGACUGUGUCAUUUGGUCUUUAAGAAAGCAGACAACUCCCCGGGUGCCCCGCCCAGGGCCCUCCGGUUUCGGUGGGAACUACCUGAUAUUCAGUCACUGCAGACUAUGUGGACAUGUCCAUGCCAGACUCCCUGACUAUCCCUUCCCCCAUCCUUCCCCCUGGUGACCAUCAGGUUAUUACAGAGGAUUGAGCAGACUUCCCUGUGCUGUCCAGCAGGUCCUUGCUGGUUCUCCAUGUUAAACACAGCAGUGUGUCCAUGUCCAUCCCAGACUCCCUGACUAUCCCUUCCCCCCAGUAAUCCUAAUUUCCUU